rnacentral:rRNA from 1 species
UCGCAUGGCGGGGCUACCAUGCAGUCGAGCGGAACAAAGUACUUGCUACUCUGGCGUCGAGCGGCGGACGGGUGAGUAAUGCUUGGGAACAUGCCUUGAGGUGGGGGACAACAGUUGGAAACGACUGCUAAUACCGCAUAAUGUCUACGGACCAAAGGGGGCUUCGGCUCUCGCCUUUAGAUUGGCCCAAGUGGGAUUAGCUAGUUGGUGAGGUAAUGGCUCACCAAGGCGACGAUCCCUAUCUGGUUUGAGAGGAUGAUCAGCCACACUGGGACUGAGACACGGCCCACACUCCUACGGGAGGCAGCAGUGGGGAAUAUUGCACAAUGGGCGCAAGCCUGAUGCACCCAUGCCGCGUGUGUGAAGAAGGCCUUCGGGUUGUAAAGCACUUUCAGUCAGGAGGAAAGGUUAGUAGUUAAUACCUGCUAGCUGUGACGUUACUGACAGAAGAAGCACCGGCUAACUCCGUGCCAGCAGCCGCGGUAAUACGGAGGGUGCGAGCGUUAAUCGGAAUUACUGGGCGUAAAGCGUACGCAGGCGGUUUGUUAAGCGAGAUGUGAAAGCCCCGGGCUCAACCUGGGAACUGCAUUUCAAACUGGCAAACUAGAGUGUGAUAGAGGGUGGUAGAAUUUCAGGUGUAGCGGUGAAAUGCGUAGAGAUCUGAAGGAAUACCGAUGGCGAAGGCAGCCACCUGGGUCAACACUGACGCUCAUGUACGAAAGCGUGGAGAGCAAACAAGAUUAUAUACCUUGGUACACA